GUGGGGAAUAUUGGACAAUGGGGGGAACCCUGAUCCAGCCAUGCCGCGUGUGUGAAGAAGGCCUUUUGGUUGUAAAGCACUUUAAGCGAGGAGGAGGCUACCGAGAUUAAUACUCUUGGAUAGUGGACGUUACUCGCAGAAUAAGCACCGGCUAACUCUGUGCCAGCAGCCGCGGUAAUACAGAGGGUGCAAGCGUUAAUCGGAUUUACUGGGCGUAAAGCGCGCGUAGGUGGCCAAUUAAGUCAAAUGUGAAAUACCCGAGCUUAACUUGGGAAUUGCAUUCGAUACUGGUUGGCUAGAGUAUGGGAGAGGAUGGUAGAAUUCCAGGUGUAGCGGUGAAAUGCGUAGAGAUCUGGAGGAAUACCGAUGGCGAAGGCAGCCAUCUGGCCUAAUACUGACACUGAGGUGCGAAAGCAUGGGGAGCAAACAGGAUUAGAUACCCUUGUAGUCC
rnacentral:rRNA from 1 species